GGGGAGCACUGUGACCUUUGAUUUUUGGGUCUUGGUGGUUGUUGAAAGGUAGAUUAGAUAAAUGAUCUACCGAUGACCUUAGGGGACGGGGAAUGAGAUUUCACAAAAUCUAAGCUUGGACACCAGGGCCUCACAAGUUAUAGUUAUCUAGUCCUAGAUCCCUAAGAGCAUCAGUUGCAGCAUUCUUACAGCUCUUGUAAUUCAUCUUAGCCUUUCUUAUUAGCUUCUCAAUGCCAUUACCAAGCAAAAUAGUUCUGUUUUCUGGAUUCCUAACCACAAGAUUUCGGAUCAUGAAACAACAGCUUCUUUGCAGUAGCUCUGAUUCUGGAAACCUCUGCAUAGCUUGGAUAACAAUAUCACCAGCUCCGGCUUCAAUAGCACACGCAGCAUUAUGUGGAGACCUCAAGGACAGUACAGUUAUCAUAGACAUGACCUCAUGUAGAACAGCCGGAUCAUUGGAAAAUCUCGUUGCAAGUUUCAUAAGCUUGUUCAUGCCAUCCUUAUCUACAAUAGCACUCUUGUUUAUGUCACUUCCUGCCAACUUAGAUAAUAAGGAGCAGCAAGUUAUGGCUACAACUUUUUC
rnacentral:misc_RNA from 1 species